rnacentral:rRNA from 1 species
CCUACGGGCGGCAGCAGUGAGGAAUAUUGGUCAAUGGGCGAGAGUCUGAACCAGCCAAGUAGCGUGAAGGAUGACUGCCCUAUGUGUUGUAAACUUCUUUUAUAUGGGAAUAAAACAGGGUAUGCAUACCCUCUUGUAUGUACCAUAUGAAUAAGGAUCGGCUAACUCCGUGCCAGCAGCCGCGGUAAUACGGAGGAUCCGAGCGUUAUCCGGAUUUAUUGGGUUUAAAGGGAGCGUAGGUGGAUUGUUAAGUCAGUUGUGAAAGUUUGCGGCUCAACCGUAAAGUUGCAGUUGAAACUGGCAGUCUUGAGUACAGUAGAGAUGGGCGGAAUUCGUGGUGUAGCGGUGAAAUGCUUAGAUAUCACGAAGAACUCCGAUUGCGAAGGCAGCAUGCCGGCUCCACACUGACGCUGAGGCACGAAAGCGUGGGUAUCGAACAGGAUUAGAUACCCCAGUAGUC